rnacentral:rRNA from 1 species
GACAGAGGGGGCAAGCGUUGCUCGGAAUCACUGGGCGUAAAGGGCGCGUAGGCGGGCUGGCAAGUCGGUCGUGAAAUCUCUCGGCUCAACCGAGAAACGUCGGCUGAUACUGCCGUUCUUGAGGGAUGCAGAGGAGACUGGAAUUCCCGGUGUAGCGGUGAAAUGUGUAGAGAUCGGGAGGAACACCGGUGGCGAAGGCGGGUCUCUGGGCAUCUCCUGACGCUGAGGCGCGAAAGCGUGGGGAGCAAACGGG